CAGUAGCCACGGUAAUACAGAGGGUGCGAGCGUUAAUCGGAUUCACUGGGCGUAAAGCGUGCGUAGGCGGCUUUUUAAGUCGGAUGUGAAAUCCCUGAGCUUAACUUAGGAAUUGCAUUCGAUACUGGGAAGCUAGAGUAUGGGAGAGGAUGGUAGAAUUCCAGGUGUAGCGGUGAAAUGCGUAGAGAUCUGGAGGAAUACCGAUGGCGAAGGCAGCCAUCUGGCCUAAUACUGACGCUGAGGUACGAAAGCAUGGGGAGCAAACAGGAUUAGAUACCCCUGUAGUCCCUGUCUCUUAUAC
rnacentral:rRNA from 1 species